UCCAGACUCCUACGGGAGGCAGCAGUGGGGAAUAUUGCACAAUGGGGGAAACCCUGAUGCAGCGACGCCGCGUGAGUGAAGAAGUAUUUCGGUAUGUAAAGCUCUAUCAGCAGGGAAGAAAAUGACGGUACCUGACUAAGAAGCCCCGGCUAACUACGUGCCAGCAGCCGCGGUAAUACGUAGGGGGCAAGCGUUAUCCGGAUUUACUGGGUGUAAAGGGAGCGUAGACGGCAUGGCAAGUCAGAUGUGAAAGCCUGGGGCUCAACCCCGGGACUGCAUUUGAAACUGUCAGGCUGGAGUGCAGGAGAGGUAAGUGGAAUUCCUAGUGUAGCGGUGAAAUGCGUAGAUAUUAGGAGGAACACCAGUGGCGAAGGCGGCUUACUGGACUGUAACUGACGUUGAGGCUCGAAAGCGUGGGGAGCAAACAGGAUUAGAUACCCGAGUA
rnacentral:rRNA from 1 species